UGAACACUGACACAGACUUUACUUCAGAUGAUUCCACAGCCACUGUACUCUGCCUCAUGGUGACAAAAAGAUAAUUAUUGGGUAUCUAUGGAACUUAUCACUCCAGAAAAGGGAAUCGGAACAACUGUCCAUCUCAUCCAUGAGAGCGCAUGGCAUUCAAUCUUGGAAAGAAUUAAGAGACCAGCAAAAGAUGGAAAAUGAUAUGGCUAUGCACCAUGUAUAUGAGGUCGACAUCUUAGGAAAAGACAGAACAAUCAGAUGCAAACAGUUUCCAGAAUGACCAUGUGGAACAGUCAUUCACCAGCCAAGUCUGUCACCAUACAUCAGUUAUACGAUAAGUCAAUAAUUUUUUUUUCUUGAAGACAUUAACCUUUGGAACCUCUGUUAACACAGUUUAGCCUUCACCUUAACUAAUAUAAGUGGUUUGCACACAUUUGGAAUAAAACGAGUAUUAUCAAUUUCUUAGUAUCUUGCUAACAACAAGUCAUACAUCCAUCCAACAGCUUGUGAAGUAAUCUCAUAGAAGAUGGGGUAUAAUUACAGAAAAAACUGUCCGUUUUAUUCUGCAAAGAAAAGGUUAUUUGUUCGGCUUCAGUUAGCAGGGGACAUAUUCACACUUACAUCUGAUGAGACUUCGAUUAGAACCGUACUGCAAAGUAAAUCAGAAAUAUUGAACAUGUUUAUUAUUAUUGCAACCAAUGAAUAUGGUGGUACACCUUGCCACUAGGCCUUCUUUAAUGUCUCUCAAUAAAAUUAUACAAUUCUCUUCA
rnacentral:lncRNA from 1 species